rnacentral:rRNA from 1 species
UCGAGCGAACAGAGAAGGAGCUUGCUCCUUUGACGUUAGCGGCGGACGGGUGAGUAACACGUGGGCAACCUACCUUAUAGUUUGGGAUAACUCCGGGAAACCGGGGCUAAUACCGAAUAAUCUGUUUCACCUCAUGGUGAAAUAUUGAAAGACGGUUUCGGCUGUCGCUAUAGGAUGGGCCCGCGGCGCAUUAGCUAGUUGGUGAGGUAACGGCUCACCAAGGCGACGAUGCGUAGCCGACCUGAGAGGGUGAUCGGCCACACUGGGACUGAGACACGGCCCAGACUCCUACGGGAGGCAGCAGUAGGGAAUCUUCCACAAUGGGCGAAAGCCUGAUGGAGCAACGCCGCGUGAGUGAAGAAGGAUUUCGGUUCGUAAAACUCUGUUGUAAGGGAAGAACAAGUACAGUAGUAACUGGCUGUACCUUGACGGUACCUUAUUAGAAAGCCACGGCUAACUACGUGCCAGCAGCCGCGGUAAUACGUAGGUGGCAAGCGUUGUCCGGAAUUAUUGGGCGUAAAGCGCGCGCAGGUGGUUUCUUAAGUCUGAUGUGAAAGCCCACGGCUCAACCGUGGAGGGUCAUUGGAAACUGGGAAAUUG